rnacentral:rRNA from 1 species
UUAAGCGACUAAGCGUACACGGUGGAUGCCCUGGCAGUCAGAGGCGAUGAAGGACGUGCUAAUCUGCGAAAAGCGUCGGUAAGGUGAUAUGAACCGUUAUAACCGGCGAUGUCCGAAUGGGGAAACCCAGUGCAAUUCGUUGCACUAUCGUUAACUGAAUACAUAGGUUAACGAGGCGAACCGGGGGAACUGAAACAUCUAAGUACCCCGAGGAAAAGAAAUCAACCGAGAUUCCCCCAGUAGCGGCGAGCGAACGGGGAGCAGCCCAGAGUCUGAAUCAGCUUGUGUGUUAGUGGAACGGUCUGGAAAGUCCGACGGUACAGGGUGAUAGUCCCGUACACCAAAAUGCACAGGUUGUGAACUCGAAGAGUAGGGCGGGACACGUGGUAUCCUGUCUGAAUAUGGGGGGACCAUCCUCCAAGGCUAAAUACUCCUGACUGACCGAUAGUGAACCAGUACCGUGAGGGAAAGGCGAAAAGAACCCCGGCGAGGGGAGUGAAAAAGAACCUGAAACCGUGUACGUACAAGCAGUGGGAGCACCUUCGGGUGUGACUGCGUACCUUUUGUAUAAUGGGUCAGCGACUUAUAUUCUGUAGCAAGGUUAACCGUAUAGGGGAGCCGCAGGGAAACCGAGUCUUAACUGGGCGUUAAGUUGCAGGGUAUAGACCCGAAACCCGGUGAUCUAGCCAUGGGCAGGUUGAAGGUUGGGUAACACUAACUGGAGGACCGAACCGACUAAUGUUGAAAAAUUAGCGGAUGACUUGUGGCUGGGGGUGAAAGGCCAAUCAAACCGGGAGAUAGCUGGUUCUCCCCGAAAGCUAUUUAGGUAGCGCCUCGUGAACUCAUCUUCGGGGGUAGAGCACUGUUUCGGCUAGGGGGUCAUCCCGACUUACCAACCCGAUGCAAACUACGAAUACCGAAGAAUGUUAUCACGGGAGACACACGGCGGGUGCUAACGUCCGUCGUGAAGAGGGAAACAACCCAGACCGCCAGCUAAGGUCCCAAAGUCAUGGUUAAGUGGGAAACGAUGUGGGAAGGCACAGACAGCCAGGAUGUUGGCUUAGAAGCAGCCAUCAUUUAAAGAAAGCGUAAUAGCUCACUGGUCGAGUCGGCCUGCGCGGAAGAUGUAACGGGGCUAAACCAUGCACCGAAGCUGCGGCAGCGACACUAUGUGUUGUUGGGUAGGGGAGCGUUCUGUAAGCCUGCGAAGGUGACCUGUGAGGGUUGCUGGAGGUAUCAGAAGUGCGAAUGCUGACAUAAGUAACGAUAAAGCGGGUGAAAAGCCCGCUCGCCGGAAGACCAAGGGUUCCUGUCCAACGUUAAUCGGGGCAGGGUGAGUCGACCCCUAAGGCGAGGCCGAAAGGCGUAGUCGAUGGGAAACAGGUUAAUAUUCCUGUACUUGGUGUUACUGCGAAGGGGGGACGGAGAAGGCUAUGUUAGCCGGGCGACGGUUGUCCCGGUUUAAGCAUGUAGGCUGGUUAUCCAGGCAAAUCCGGAUAAUCAAGGCUGAGGUGUGAUGACGAGGCACUACGGUGCUGAAGUAACAAAUGCCCUGCUUCCAGGAAAAGCCUCUAAGCAUCAGGUAACAUCAAAUCGUACCCCAAACCGACACAGGUGGUCAGGUAGAGAAUACCAAGGCGCUUGAGAGAACUCGGGUGAAGGAACUAGGCAAAAUGGUGCCGUAACUUCGGGAGAAGGCACGCUGGUGUGUAGGUGAAGUCCCUGCGGAUGGAGCUGAGACCAGUCGAAGAUACCAGCUGGCUGCAACUGUUUAUUAAAAACACAGCACUGUGCAAACACGAAAGUGGACGUAUACGGUGUGACGCCUGCCCGGUGCCGGAAGGUUAAUUGAUGGGGUUAUCCGUAAGGAGAAGCUCUUGAUCGAAGCCCCGGUAAACGGCGGCCGUAACUAUAACGGUCCUAAGGUAGCGAAAUUCCUUGUCGGGUAAGUUCCGACCUGCACGAAUGGCGUAAUGAUGGCCAGGCUGUCUCCACCCGAGACUCAGUGAAAUUGAACUCGCUGUGAAGAUGCAGUGUACCCGCGGCAAGACGGAAAGACCCCGUGAACCUUUACUAUAGCUUGACACUGAACAUUGAGCCUUGAUGUGUAGGAUAGGUGGGAGGCUUUGAAGCGUGGACGCCAGUCUGCGUGGAGCCAACCUUGAAAUACCACCCUUUAAUGUUUGAUGUUCUAACGUUGGCCCCUGACCGGGGUUGCGGACAGUGUCUGGUGGGUAGUUUGACUGGGGCGGUCUCCUCCCAAAGCGUAACGGAGGAGCACGAAGGUUAGCUAAUCCUGGUCGGACAUCAGGAGGUUAGUGCAAUGGCAUAAGCUAGCUUGACUGCGAGCGUGACGGCGCGAGCAGGUGCGAAAGCAGGUCAUAGUGAUCCGGUGGUUCUGAAUGGAAGGGCCAUCGCUCAACGGAUAAAAGGUACUCCGGGGAUAACAGGCUGAUACCGCCCAAGAGUUCAUAUCGACGGCGGUGUUUGGCACCUCGAUGUCGGCUCAUCACAUCCUGGGGCUGAAGUAGGUCCCAAGGGUAUGGCUGUUCGCCAUUUAAAGUGGUACGCGAGCUGGGUUUAGAACGUCGUGAGACAGUUCGGUCCCUAUCUGCCGUGGGCGCUGGAGAAUUGAGGGGGGCUGCUCCUAGUACGAGAGGACCGGAGUGGACGCAUCACUGGUGUUCGGGUUGUCAUGCCAAUGGCACUGCCCGGUAGCUAAAUGCGGAAGAGAUAAGUGCUGAAAGCAUCUAAGCACGAAACUUGCCCCGAGAUGAGUUCUCCCUGAGACUUUAAGUCUCCUGAAGGAACGUUAAAGACGAUGACGUUGAUAGGCCGGGUGUGUAAGCGCAGCGAUGCGUUGAGCUAACCGGUACUAAUGAACCGUGAGGCUUAACCU